rnacentral:rRNA from 1 species
AACGAACGCUGGCGGCAGGCUUAACACAUGCAAGUCGAACGAAGGCUUCGGCCUUAGUGGCGCACGGGUGAGUAACACGUGGGAACAUACCUUUCGGUGGGGAAUAACGUCGGGAAACUGACGCUAAUACCGCAUACGCCCUUCGGGGGAAAGAUUUAUCGCCGAAAGAUUGGCCCGCGUCCGAUUGGCUUGUUGGUGAGGUAACGGCUCACCAAGGCGACGAUCGGUAGCUGGUCUGAGAGGAUGAUCAGCCACACUGGGACUGAGACACGGCCCAGACUCCUACGGGAGGCAGCAGUGGGGAAUAUUGGACAAUGGGGGCAACCCUGAUCCAGCCAUGCCGCGUGAGUGAUGAAGGCCUUAGGGUUGUAAAGCUCUUUCACCCACGACGAUGAUGACGGUAGUGGGAGAAGAAGCCCCGGCUAACUUCGUGCCAGCCGCCGCAGUAA